rnacentral:rRNA from 1 species
CCUACGGGAGGCAGCAGUGGGGAAUAUUGCACAAUGGGGGAAACCCUGAUGCAGCGACGCCGCGUGAGCGAAGAAGUAUUUCGGUAUGUAAAGCUCUAUCAGCAGGGAAGAAAAUGACGGUACAUGAGUAAGAAGCUCCGGCUAAAUACGGGCCAUCAGCCGCGGUAAUACGUAUGGAGCAAGCGUUAUCCGGAGUGACUGGGCGUGAAGGGAGCGUAGGCGGCCUGCCAAGUCUGAUGGGAAAUACCGGGGCUCAACCCCGGGGCUGCAUGUGAAACUGGCAGGCUGGAGUGCCGGAGAGGCAGGCGGAAUUCCUAGUGUAGCGGUUAAAUGCGUAGAUAUUAGGAGGAACCCCAGUGGCGAUGGCGGCCUGCUGGACGGUGCCUGACGCUGAGGCUCG